CCUCUUACUGAUUCUGAUCUUGUUGCUUACAUCUUGGCUGGUCUUCCUGAGGAGUAUGAUUCUUUUGUGACCUCUAUUGAAACUCGAAGUGACCUAGUGUCUUCUGAUGAGCUUCAUGGUUUCCUGCUUGGUCGUAAAG
rfam:Prunus persica cultivar Lovell chromosome G8, whole genome shotgun sequence.